rnacentral:rRNA from 1 species
AUUGAACGCUGGCGGCAGGCCUAACACAUGCAAGUCGAACGAGUGGCGGACGGGUGAGUAAUGUCUGGGAAACUGCCUGAUGGAGGGGGAUAACUACUGGAAACGGUAGCUAAUACCGCGUACCAUCAGAUGUGCCCAGAUGGGAUUAGGUGGUUGGUGGGGUAACGGCUCACCAAGGCGACGAUCCCUAGCUGGUCUGAGAGGAUGACCAGCCACACUGGAACUGAGACACGGUCCAGACUCCUACGGGAGGCAGCAGUUGGGAAUAUUGCACAAUGGGCGCAAGCCUGAUGCAGCCAUUCCGCGUGUAUGAAGAAGGCCUUCGGGUUGUAAAGGACUUUCAGCGGGGAGGCGUUACCCGCAGAAGAAGCACCGGCUAACUCCGUGCCAGCAGGCGCGGUAAAUAC